AAUGCUUCCAGGAAAAGCCUCUAAGCUUCAGGUAACAAGGGACCGUACCCCAAACCGACACAGGUGGUCAGGUAGAGAAUACCAAGGCGCUUGAGAGAACUCGGGUGAAGGAACUAGGCAAAAUGGUACCGUAACUUCGGGAGAAGGUACGCCGCUUGGGGUGAUCGGACUUGCUCCGUGAGCUCCGGGCGGUCGAAGUGACCAGGUGGCUGCGACUGUUAAUUAAAAACACAGCACUCUGCAAACACGAAAGUGGACGUAUAGGGUGUGACGCCUGCCCGGUGCCGGAAGGUUAAUUGAUGGGGUCAGCCGCAAGGCGAAGCUCUUGAUCGAAGCCCCGGUAAACGGCGGCCGUAACAAUAACGGUCCUAAGGUAGCGAAAUUCCUUGUCGGGUAAGUUCCGACCUGCACGAAUGGCGUAACGAUGGCCACACUGUCUCCACCCGAGACUCAGUGAAAUUGAACUCGCUGUGAGGAUGCAGUGUACCCGCGGCUAGACGGAAAGACCCCGUGAACCUUUACUACAGCUUUGCACUGGACUCUGAAUCUGUUUGUGUAGGAUAGGUGGGAGGCUAUGAAGCCGGAACGCUAGUUCUGGUGGAGCCAACCUUGAAAUACCACCCUGACAUAUUUGGGGUUCUAACCCAGGCCCGUUAUCCGGGUCGGGGACAGUGUAUGGUGGGUAGUUUGACUGGGGCGGUCUCCUCCCAAAGAGUAACGGAGGAGCACGAAGGUACCCUCAGCGUGGUCGGAAAUCACGCUUUUGAGUGCAAAGGCAUAAGGGUGCUUGACUGCGAGAGCGACGGCUCGAGCAGGUGCGAAAGCAGGUCUUAGUGAUCCGGUGGUUCUGAAUGGAAGGGCCAUCGCUCAACGGAUAAAAGGUACUCCGGGGAUAACAGGCUGAUACCGCCCAAGAGUUCAUACCGACGGCGGUGUUUGGCACCUCGAUGUCGGCUCAUCACAUCCUGGGGCUGAAGCCGGUCCCAAGGGUAUGGCUGUUCGCCAUUUAAAGUGGUACGCGAGCUGGGUUUAGAACGUCGUGAGACAGUUCGGUCCCUAUCUGCCGUGGGCGUUGGAGAUUUGAGGAAAGCUGCUCCUAGUACGAGAGGACCGGAGUGGACGAACCUCUGGUGUUCGGGUUGUCACGCCAGUGGCAUUGCCCGGUAGCUACGUUCGGACGGGAUAACCGCUGAAAGCAUCUAAGCGGGAAGCCUCUUCCAAGAUGAGAUCUCCCCGGGGACUCGAUCCCCCUGAAGGGUUGUUCAAGACCAGGACGUUGAUAGGUGGGGUGUGUAAGCGCUGUGAGGCGUUGAGCUAACCCAUACUAAUUGCCCGUGCGGCUU
rnacentral:rRNA from 1 species